GACGAACGCUGGCGGCGUGCCUAAUACAUGCAAGUUGAGCGAUUAAGAUUGGUGCUUGCACCAAUUUGAAGAGCAGCGCACGGGUGAGUAACGCGUGGGUAAUCUGCCUUUGAGCGGGGGACAACAUUUGGAAACGAAUGCUAAUACCGCAUAACAACUUUAAACAUAAGUUUUAAGUUUGAAAGAUGCAAUUGCAUCACUCAAAGAUGAUCCCGCGUUGUAUUAGCUAGUUGGUGAGGUAAAGGCUCACCAAGGCGAUGAUACAUAGCCGACCUGGGAGGGUGAUCGGCCAAAUUGGGACUGAGACACGGCCCAAACUCCUAAGGGAGGCAGCAGUAGGGAAUCUUCGGACAGGGACGAAAGGCUGAACGAGCAACGCCGCGUGAGGGAAGAAGGUUUUCGGAUCGGAAAACUCUGUUGGUAGAGAAGAACGUUGGUGAGAGUGGAAAGCUCAUCAAGUGACGGUAACUACCCAGAAAGGGACGGCUAACUACGUG
rnacentral:rRNA from 1 species